rnacentral:lncRNA from 1 species
UUGCAAAUCGUAAGGUCAGGCUCAUUAUUUUUUUAAUUAGAGUUAUUUAUUGGAUUGUGGUUGAUAGCCUUGUAUCUGUGUUGUUGUUUUUUUUGCAUUUUGGGUGUCUGCUAUGAAGCAAGUUAACUGCUAUGAAGCAAGUUAAUAUACAUAUCAAUUUUUUUUUAACCUAUGUAUGUUAGGUGUUUGUAAAAAUGUCUCAAUAAGGUUAUUUUGAUUAAAACAUGAAAAAUUAGUUUGUUUUCUCUGUAAAAUUGUUGAGAAUAUAAUGAGUUAUAGAUUAACUCAGUUGUUUAUAAUUAUAGAUUAACUCAGUUGUUUAUAAUAGCAUGAUUAAUGGCUUUAGAAAUCUAAAUAUCCUGAUGCAACGCUUGCCUUGCAUAAGAAAAUGACUGAUGAAGGGAUUCCAUGUGCCUUGCAAACAUACACUACUGUAAUUGAUAUACAGAGAUGCUUGCAAAGGGUAUUGUCUAUUUAAAUUUGUUUGUAUUAAUAUUGCAGUACCGAUGAGCACAAAUUCAUCAGGGAGAUCAAUAGGCAGUUGCAAAUGUGGAGUUCCUUAGAAAUUAUAAUCUGACGGAUGAAUCCUGGAUGUUGACAUAGGAGGUACAGGCAUUCCACAUUUAUAUCCUCCUUGAUUAUUAAAUUAAUUAAAACUAUCCCAAAUUUCAGAACUCAUAAAAUUCUGUCAAUGUUGUUCUUUUUGGUGGUUUUAGGUUGGAAAAGUGAAUUUUAAGAGCUCCGACACACAGGCUAAAUUGAUUGGAACAAUGGUCUCAGUCCUAGGGGCUUUCGUGGUGACUUUGUACUAGGGACCCCAACUCCUGAAAAGCCCCUCAUCUUCAAGCUUGUCUCAUCUUUUGACGACUCCAUCACAGAAUUGGGUUAUCGGGGGUUGCUCCUAGGAAUUGACAGUGUGCUCGCUUCAUUUCUCAUCAUUACACAUGUACAUAUUAUUACAUGUACCAAAACAAUACCAUGUAACUCGUUGUGGUUUUUGUUUUUUGUAAUGUAGUCGAGUUGUGUUGUAAUGAAAUUGUUUAAUGCAAUGAAAUUACAAGUUGUAGUUGCUUUGUAAUGAAACUACUGUAAUGAAAGUUGUUGUUUGUAAUCUAAUGAAUUGUCAUCUUGCUACUGUAAUGUACAGUGGU